AUUGAACGCUGGCGGCAUGCCUUACACAUGCAAGUCGAACGGUAACAGGUCUUCGGAUGCUGACGAGUGGCGAACGGGUGAGUAAUACAUCGGAACGUGCCUAGUAGUGGGGGAUAACUACUCGAAAGAGUGGCUAAUACCGCAUGAGAUCUACGGAUGAAAGCAGGGGAUCGCAAGACCUUGUGCUACUAGAGCGGCCGAUGGCAGAUUAGGUAGUUGGUGGGAUAAAAGCUUACCAAGCCGACGAUCUGUAGCUGGUCUGAGAGGACGAUCAGCCACACUGGGACUGAGACACGGCCCAGACUCCUACGGGAGGCAGCAGUGGGGAAUUUUGGACAAUGGGCGCAAGCCUGAUCCAGCAAUGCCGCGUGCAGGAUAAAGGCCUUCGGGUUGUAAACUGCUUUUGUACGGAACGAAAAGCCCUGGUUAAUACCCUGGGGUCAUGACGGUACCGUAAGAAUAAGCACCGGCUAACUACGUGCCAGCCGCCGCCGUAAAAC
rnacentral:rRNA from 1 species